GAGGGGGACACCCGGAGCCGUGCUGGAGCAGUGGUGAAGUUCUGGAUGCUGCCCUCUGAGACUUGGAAUGAUCACCUGAGCACCUUUUCCCCUUUGUAAAGGAAUCACGUCCACCCUUCUGUCUUAGAAGGUAAGAAAGCCCGUGUUUCUUAGAGAGAAAAAAACCCCAACCGCUAGUGUUUCUACUUAAAACGAUCCAUCCUUCCCCUUUAAGAGCUGACCCGAAUCUUUCUGGCACAGGACUAUGGGCGUGCAAUCUUUUUGGUAUGAUUCAUUGAGAUGCAAAAUAGCUCUUGGUUCUGCCUUCCUGGACAGGUACUUGAGUUAAAAGAGAUUGCAAUGAAGAUAAGGACUUUUUAAGCAUGGGCCAGAGUGCAUCAAAUUUUGCAGUCUGGACGGGCCCUUGUGGGUUGGAGAUGUCGGAGGCGGUGGCGGCUCCUUUUGUCUCUAGAAAGCAACAGAAAUGGGUCUCCUUGGUAGGACAAGGCAGAAGCUGAGAAAGAAAGAAGGGACAUCAGCCGUCCUCAGAAUAGGAAUUUAAGGUCAGAGAAAAGACAGCACAGGUAGCCAGCCAUCUAGGAAACCCUCCCCCAUGCAACGGCAUGCAUCUUCUCGAGAACAAGCUGACAGUCACUUCCAACAGGACUUGGGGAUGCUCCCAGAGGCCAAGGUGGUGCUGAUUUGGUGAGCCUUCCUUCACCAGCUGUUGUUGCUUCCCAGAUCGGAUGGAAGAGCCGCCUAUCCCGCAUCCCCAGAGAUGGGGUCCCUUGGCCAAGGACCACUGCGACCACCUCCUGGAUUCCAUUGAUGCACAUCUCAGCCGGCUGCAAGCUCAGGAACCCGAUGUGGAAACAGAAGGGACCGGCGGGCAGGCAGCCUCCCGCUCCUUCCUCAGUGGAACCACGUGCACAUCUGGUGCCGCAGAUCCGAGCAAAUCCUCUGGGAACAAAGAUCGAGAUGCUUCUCUGGACGAGAGCCCAUCAUCUUGGAAGGAGGAAGGUCCUCAGUGGCCAGUGCCUCCUCUCCUUGCCCCAGAAGGCACCCCAAGAGAUGAGAGGGCCUCAGACUCAAUAUGCACUGAAGAUUUUGCUGCUGCUUUUUAUGAAUGCCUGGUGGAUCCUCUCCUGAGUUCCAGCGAUGAAAAAGAGGGAAGUGAGUUUGAUCUCGCAGUCACAUCGCUAGAGCCCGUUUCCAGGAGCUGGGCUGAAAAUCCUGACCCUUCUCAGCUCUACGAGGGCAUGCAAGCUGUGCUAGAUCCUCAUUUCAUGGGUGCAGCGAGAAAGCAGGGUGUUGUCCGGUCUCCUAAGGAAGCCUCGAAAGGGGAAGAGGGCCAAGUUUCUCCAACUCUUUAUCCAGAAGCGCCUCUGUUCCUGGGCCAUCAACCCAAAACGCACAGCCUGGAGCCUUCAGGAGCAAAGAUCUCCCCACUUGGCAGGACAUUCUCUGAGGAGACCUCUAGGGCUACGGAUGUUCUUGGAGAUGUCCCCCUGGGGGAAAGGAGUCUUCGACACCAGCCUCUGAAGUUGGGAGAGAAGCCGGUGGACUUCACGUUGAUCUCCAGGAAGAGGGGGUUCGGAUGUGAAGGCUUGAAGGGCUCCUUGGAAUGGAUUCCAGACCCCCUUGAAAAUCCAGGCCGCCCAUUGUUGGUGGAAGAUCUGAGCCCUUUCCAGGGGCUCCAAACUGUGGACGGAGCAGGUGCCGAAACCACGCUGUUUGGGGGUGACGUCCCAGCAAGGACACUGGGAUAUGGACACCCAGAGAAGAGGGAAUUGAACGACCCAACGGGCUUGUCGGAUGUUACCUGUCUUCGUGCCCUGCCUGGUCAAAGCGGUUUGGUGUCUCCCGGGGGGGAAGACGAGGGCGUGAUUGCCAGCCCUCGGUGGUUUUCUCCUGUGACGGGCUGUGAGAUGCAGAGGGCGUCCUCCUCCCAGCUUAAGUUGAACUGGGGUGCCAGAGCUGACCGCAAGGCUUCCCAGAAGAGCCAGGGCUUGCCCAGCGAUGGCUGGAUGGGAGCCAGGACAUCCGGAGAUCCUGUCUGCAGAGGGAGGAAAGAGGAUGCUCCGGAAUGGAUGGAAAAUGGCCGCUCAGGGUCCGGGCACUGUGAGCUUCCUUACCUGACGGAGCGAGGCCAGAUGGAGAACUUCAGAGGCAAACAUGGGGCAGGUGGGUGGAAGCUGUUAACAGAAGCUUUAGCAAGGAAACUGGUUGGAUGGGGAAGUGUUAUGGGAUGGAGGGGGUGACGCCCGGCGGGUGGAAGCCAUGAGGGUGAGGUGGGGUAAACGUUCGUUGUUGGAGGAGGACCUGCGAGGGAAAGAGAACGGUCCGGAGGCAAUGCACUGUGACGUGACUUCAAAUACGCUUUGUGGGAAGUGGACACGGAAGUCCAGAUUUCAGCCAAAGUCAAGAGUUUCCCA
rnacentral:lncRNA from 1 species